GUUACGAGUUGUCUGAUAUGAGGAAAGGGACGGUUUCCCCGUCAAGUGAACCGUCCAUCUUUGCUCUUUUUUUGCCAACCAGUUUACGUGCGGGAUUCCAGAAUCAAAACGAUAACAUUCAACGUGUCUAUUAAUAUGGCAGCAACAUUUUACACCGUUUUAGAAUAUUCACUACAACUAUGCUGACUUUACAUGCUUAUGUAAAGUCAGCAUAGUACCAUAUUCAGCUAUCGACAGUUCUGCGUUGUGCGUCAUAGCCUACACCAGCCUACGCAGACAAUGUUCUAAAUAAAAUGAAAUGAUAAUAUGAUAAAUAUCAUAAAAAGGGUGGAUGUCAAUAAUGUAAUGAAAAAUCAUGUUGUAUGAUAAAAUUAUGCCAUUUUUUUUUCAAUAUUUAUCAAUUAAAACAUAGGGGGUAACACUGUCGUUUUUAUCAAAAGAAAAAUAAUGUCAUGUAUAUCCUCUUUAUUGAUGAUUGAUUAUUGUGUAUUGUCAUCGCCUCAGUGGUUCAGUGGAGUGCACUCUGCCUAACCCACUGGAGACCGCGGCUCAAUUUCUGUGGAAAACACAAUAUCUUUAAUUUUAAACGUAAUGCUCUCAUGUCUAUAACAUAUAUAUACAUCUAUAUGUCUAUCAUAUAUAACCACAGACAUAUUUGAAUUGCAAAUCUCAGUGGGAAGUGGAGAGAGCUGUGAGCUAACCCGCUGGAGACCGGGGUUCAAGUCUGGUUGAUGUCCUCUGUUGGAAGACUCUUAUCUCUAAUUCAUGCGAUAUAAAAGUCAACUCUAACCAUUGUGUUGACUUUUUCGGUGUCUCGAUGGUGCAUUGAUACGUUCGGAGGUUAACACUCUAAACAGCUCAGGUUCAGAUCCCAGCAAAAACGUCGAGAGGGGUACCACUGUUGUUUUUUAUUGGUCAACAUGGAAAAAACAUGAGGGGUAACUCUGUCGUUUUUUAUCGGCCGUCAUGAAAUAAACAUAAGGGGUAACACUGUCGAUAUUUAUCAAAUAAAACAUAGGGGGUAACACUGUUGUUUUUCUUUGGUCGUCAUGAAAAAAAACACAAGGGGCAACACUGUCGUUUUUUAUUGGUCUUCAUGAGAAAAAACACAAAUGGUGUAGCACUGUUGUUUCUUUUGGUCGCCAGGAAAAAAAACAUAAGGGAUAACACUGUCGUUUUUUAUUGGUCUUCAUGAAAAAAAACAUAAGGGGUAACACUGUUGUUUUUUAUUGGUCGUCAUGAAAAAAAACAUAAGGGGUAACACUGUUGUUUUUUAUUGGUCGUCAUGAAAAAAAACAUAAGGGGUAACACUGUCGUUUUUUAUUGGUCGUCAUGAAAAAAAACAUAAGGGGUAACACGGCCGUUUUUUAUUGGUCGUCAUGAAAAAAAACAUAAGGGGUUACACUGUCGUUUUUUAUUGGUCGUCAUGACAAAAACAUAAGGGGUAACACUGUUGUUUUUCUUUGGUCGUCAUGAAAAAAACCAUAAGGGGUAACACGGUCGUUUUUUAUUGGUCGUCAUGAAAAAAAACAUAAGGGGUAACACUGUUGUUUUUAAUUGGUCGUCAUGAAAAAAAACAUAAGGGGUAACACUAUCGUUUUUUAUUGGUCGUCAUGAAAAAAACAUAAGGGAAAUAAUAGAAAUACACACAUACAUUUUAAUGUCAUGAAUAUCCUCUUUAUUGAUGUUUG
ensembl:lncRNA